rnacentral:rRNA from 1 species
GACGAACGCUGGCGGCAGGCCUAACACAUGCAAGUCGAGCGGACCUUUCGGGGUCAGCGGCGGACGGGUGAGUAACGCGUGGGAAUAUGCCCUUCUCUACGGAAUAGUCCUGGGAAACUGGGGGUAAUACCGUAUACGCCCUUUGGGGGAAAGAUUUAUCGGCGAAGGAUUAGCCCGCGUUGGAUUAGGUAGUUGGUGGGGUAAUGGCCUACCAAGCCGACGAUCCAUAGCUGGUUUGAGAGGAUGAUCAGCCACACUGGGACUGAGACACGGCCCAGACUCCUACGGGAGGCAGCAGUGGGGAAUCUUAGACAAUGGGGGCAACCCUGAUCUAGCCAUGCCGCGUGAGUGAUGAAGGCCUUAGGGUUGUAAAGCUCUUUCAGCUGGGAAGAUAAUGACGGUACCAGCAGAAGAAGCCCCGGCUAACUCCGUG